UUUGUACUCCCUCCAUCCCAAAAUUCUUGUCUUAAAUUUGUCUAAAUACGGAUGUAUCUAGUUACAUUUUAGUGUUAGAUACAUCCGUAUCUAAACAAAUGUAAGACAAGAAUUUUGGGACGGCGGGAAUACUAC
rnacentral:pre_miRNA from 1 species